AUUGAACGCUGGCGGCAGGCCUAACACAUGCAAGUCGAGCGGAUGAAGGGAGCUUGCUCCUGGAUUCAGCGGCGGACGGGAGAGUAAUGCCUAGGAAUCUGCCUGGUAGUGGGGGAUAACGUCCGGAAACGGGCGCUAAUACCGCAUACGUCCUGAGGGAGAAAGUGGGGGAUCUUCGGACCUCACGCUAUCAGAUGAGCCUAGGUCGGAUUAGCUAGUUGGUGGGGUAAAGGCCUACCAAGGCGACGAUCCGUAACUGGUCUGAGAGGAUGAUCAGUCACACUGGAACUGAGACACGGUCCAGACUACUACGGGAGGCAGCAGUGGGGAAUAGUGGACAAUGGGCGGAAGCCUGAUCCAGCCAUGCCGCGUGUGUGAAGAAGGUCUUCGGAUUUUAGAGCACUUUAAGUUGGGAGGAAGGGCAGUAAGUUAAUACCUUGCUGUUUUGACGUUACCAACAGAAUAAGCACCGGCUAACUUCGUG
rnacentral:rRNA from 1 species